AGACAUUGAGAUGGAUGUGGAUUCCAUGUGUGUUAAAUUUUGUGUGGAUUGCUUAAGACCAAUGAGAUGAUAAUUAGGUGAAAAUCUUAAGUAAAAGAUCGAUUUUCGAGAAUAAGUGUUUAAUGAGGGGCAUUGCACUAAUCAUUGCAUAAAAGGGAAAAAGCUGCCAUGUUGUGAAGCUACCCUAAAAGAGCCCAAUGAGGACAAUUAUAUACAUAAAAAGAGAUAGGCUAGUGCAUGAAACAGAAUACGCACAGCAAACUUGAAAAAAAAAAUAGGUGCAUGAAACAGAAAACACACUACAUGCCUUGAUUAAGUCUCAAACACUUAUUUUAGAGAAUUAGACCUUUGAUAAGGGAUUAGUAGCUUAGUUGAUUCUUGGAGGUUGAACUUGGAGGUUGAAUCAGUCAAAAUUAAAGAGAAUCCUCAUUUAUUGAUGUGUUGAGCUACAAUUAGUAAAAUCUAACCAAACUAGAGAGGGUGAGUAAUAGUAUAAAUCACACCUUGGGAAAAUAGUUAGAAAAUCAAGUUUGAGGGUGUGCAUCCCACGAGAGAAGAGAGAAAUAAAUGACCAUUGAGGGUCGGGAUGAGUCCAAUUUAAAAAAGUAUGUGAUUGAAUUGAUUAUGCACACACACACACGCUGGUCGAGCAUUGGACAAGUUAGACUAUAUUUUGGUAAGCAAACCUUAGAAGAAUUUUGAUAAGCAAUUUCAAAUCC
rnacentral:lncRNA from 1 species